rnacentral:rRNA from 1 species
AUUGAACGCUGGCGGAAUGCUUUACACAUGCAAGUCGAACGGCAGCACGGGGGCAACCCUGGUGGCGAGUGGCGAACGGGUGAGUAAUACAUCGGAACGUGCCCGGUCGUGGGGGAUAACGUAGCGAAAGUUACGCUAAUACCGCAUACGAUCUGAGGAUGAAAGCGGGGGACCUUCGGGCCUCGCGCGAUCGGAGCGUCCGAUGUCAGAUUAGGUAGUUGGUGGGGUAAAGGCCUACCAAGCCGACGAUCUGUAGCUGGUCUGAGAGGACGACCAGCCACACUGGGACUGAGACACGGCCCAGACUCCUACGGGAGGCAGCAGUGGGGAAUUUUGGACAAUGGGCGCAAGCCUGAUCCAGCCAUUCCGCGUGCAGGACGAAGGCCUUCGGGUUGUAAAGUGCUUUUGUAUGGAACGAAAAGGCUCUGGCUAAUACCUGGGGCUCAUGACGGUACCGUAAGAAUAAGCACCGGCUAACUACGUG